UACGUAGGGUGCAAGCGUUGUCCGGAAUUAUUGGGCGUAAAGAGCUCGUAGGCGGUUUGUCGCGUCUGCUGUGAAAACUCGGGGCUUAACCCCGGGCCUGCAGUGGGUACGGGCAGACUAGAGUGCGGUAGGGGAGAAUGGAAUUCCUGGUGUAGCGGUGAAAUGCGCAGAUAUCAGGAAGAACACCCGUGGCUAAGGCGGUUCUCUAGUACGGUACUGACGCUGAGACGCGAAAGCGUGGGGAGCGAACAGG
rnacentral:rRNA from 1 species